GUGGGGAAUAUUGGGCAAUGGGGGAAACCCUGACCCAGCAACGCCGCGUGAAGGAAGACGGUUUUCGGAUUGUAAACUUCUUUUAUCGGGGACGAAAAAAAUGACGGUACCCGAAGAAAAAGCCACGGCUAACUACGUGCCAGCAGCCGCGGUAAUACGUAGGUGGCAAGCGUUGUCCGGAUUUACUGGGUGUAAAGGGCGUGUAGGCGGGACUGCAAGUCAGAUGUGAAAUACCAAGGCUUAACCUUGGGGCUGCAUUUGAAACUGUAGUUCUUGAGUGAUGGAGAGGCAGGCGGAAUUCCUAGUGUAGCGGUGAAAUGCGUAGAUAUUAGGAGGAACACCAGUGGCGAAGGCGGCCUGCUGGACAUUAACUGACGCUGAGGCGCGAAAGCGUGGGGAGCAAACAGGAUUAGAAACCCCAGUAGUCC
rnacentral:rRNA from 1 species